AGUGUUAGCUGUUUUAGCUUUUUGGGCCAUUUUGCAUUGCCUCUUUGUUAACUUACAUUAGCGAAACAUUGGCCAUAGUUAAAAUGAAAUUUUUUUAAGGUGUCUAACCAAUUUUUCCCCUAUCCCUCAGGUGCUGUGAGGUAUUUGUGAAAUUGUGAACGUUCAGCCAGGUGCUGUGAGGUGUGUCUUCUUUGAAAUUGUGAACUUAUUCAUCUUUCCUUGGCUGCGAUGGCUCUGAGAAUGAGACGAUGGCGAAAAC